rnacentral:rRNA from 1 species
UACAGAGGGGGCAAGCGUUGUUCGGAAUUACUGGGCGUAAAGGGCGCGUAGGCGGCCUGUUAAGUCGGACGUGAAAUCCCUCGGCUCAACCGGGGAACUGCGUCCGAUACUGGCGGGCUUGAAUUCGGGAGAGGGAUGUGGAAUUCCAGGUGUAGCGGUGAAAUGCGUAGAUAUCAGGAAGAACACCUAUGGCGAAGGCAGCUCUCUGGGACGGUACUGACGCUGAGACGCGAAAGCGUGGGGAGCGAACAGG